GAUGAACGCUGGCGGCGUGCCUAAUACAUGCAAGUCGAGCGAACAGACGAGGCUCUUGCUCCUCUUACGUUAGCGGCGGACGGGUGAGUAACACGUGGAUAACCUACCUAUAAGACUGGGAUAACUUCGGGAACCCGGAUCUAAUACCGGAUAAUAUAUUGAACCGCAUGGUUCUUUAGUGAAAGACGGAUUUGCUGAGCCUAAGACAUGUAUCCGGGUCGCAUUAGCUAGUUGGUAAGGUAACGGCUUACCAAGGCAACGAUGCGUAGCCGACCUGAGAGGGUGAUCGGCCACACUGGAACUGAGACACGGUCCAGACUCCUACGGGAGGCAGCAGUAGGGAAUCUUCGGCAAUGGGCGAAAGCCUGACGGAGCAACGCCGCGUGUGUGAUGAAGGUCUUCGGAUCGUAAAACUCUGUUAUUAGGGAAGAACAAAUGUGUAAGUAAAUAUGCACGUCUUGACGGUACCUAAUCAGAAAGCCACGGCUAACUACGUG
rnacentral:rRNA from 1 species